AGGUGACCCAUAUUAGGAAGGCCAACGAAAAACUUGUUGAUGGAUGGGCAAAGACUAUUAUUGUAAGUGAAUAAGUAUUUGAAUUGACUAUCUUUCGAUAUUUACACUGAGAGAUAAAUUUUGAGGAUAAUAUUUGAUAAUUGAUAUAAUGCAAGAUCGCUAUAAUAUACUUAAGGAGCAGAUGUCUCAGCCACAAGAGGGAUGCAGUGAGCCUUCUAUUAUGGAUGACAGACAGCUUUGGUAUGAGGCUGUUGGGGGAG
rnacentral:lncRNA from 1 species